GAUCCUGGCUCAGGACGAACGCUGGCGGCGUGCUUAACACAUGCAAGUCGAACGAGAAUCUGUGGAACGAGGAUUCGUCCAAGUGAAGCAGAGGACAGUGGCGGACGGGUGAGUAACGCGUGAGGAACCUGCCUUUCAGAGGGGGACAACAGUUGGAAACGACUGCUAAUACCGCAUGACACAUUGAAGUCGCAUGGCUUUGAUGUCAAAGAUUUAUCGCUGAAAGAUGG
rnacentral:rRNA from 1 species